AGUCGAUCCUACCCCUGUCUCACUACCUCUCGUCUUCCUCCCGAUCCCCUUCUCUCGGCUGGAUUCCCCUCCGUCCACCCUCGGCGGCGCGCCUCCUGCCCUCAGCGCGCCCGCUCCUCCUACUCUCGCCAGGCGCCGGGAGACGCGCGGAGGGGCCUCCCCUUCUCCCUCCCUCCUGCUGCCCUCAGACCAGCGCCGCCGCGGAAGCGAUGCCCGCCGCCGUCUUCCGGCCUCCUCCGCGGGAGGCGAGGAGGUGGAGGAGAAUACCGCACGGAAUACCAGCGAGGCCGCUGAAUCGGCAACGCGGAUACCUGCAGGGACGCCCCCCGCCGUAGCCUCGACUCGCCAUCGUCCCAGCGCCCAUGCUCCGCCGUGGGUCGUGGCCGGCGAGGCGGCGAGAUCCUCCUCGCUCUCCUGCCAGGAUGCCACGGCCCAUCGCGAUAACCGCUGUGCCAGGUAUUCUCCCCCGCACGCGCUCGCGGCUUGACGGGUGAUUGAGGGCCGAGGCAGCUCCAUCCUCCCGUCUUCCUUGCGGUGCUACAACGGCAAUCGGCCAAGACACGCACGUACAGCCUCAGCAGAGAGAUGGCCAAGCGACGCUACAAGGAGAACCACAGCUGAAGUUGUGCAGCACCGUUUUUACUUCUUAUGGGAGCUGGAGCGGUUGAAUUUCCACUUGUUGCUACAAAUAUGGUUCUUCGGUAGCUGGUUAGUCUGAAGUUGCUGCUUACUCGUCAACAUGUAAACAAAUGAAAUUUUGCGUUAUGACAGGACAGAGGUAAUUGCUUCCAUCAUUCCUGUCCAGAUGUUACAUUUAGUUUUCAUGUCUUGUAUAUCUUUUCUUAAGCCAAGUUUGUUUUCACGCAUAGAGGGGAUACUAAAUUUCUCUAAUAUACUCCCUCCGUCCGGAUAUACUUGUCAUCAAAAUGAAUAAAAGGGGAUGUAUCUAGAUGUAUUUUAGUUCUAGAUACAUCCUUUUUUGUCCAUUUUGAUGACAAGUAUUUUCGGACGGAGGGAGUACAUGUCUAAUGUUGGUAUUUUUGUAGAUCAUCAGGGAGAAGAUUGCCAUGUGCCAUGACAGAGCCUCGCCGAGCAGGGUUGCGAGACAGUGUGGUCCUGUGGUGCGUGCCAAUUGUCAAAGGUAUCUCAGAGGAAGGAAUAGAGGAGGAUCGAAACAAUUUGUUCUGCUGCACAAUGUAGAUAGAGGAGACAAACCUACUGGAGGAAGGAAAUUGAAGGGUGUGUUGUACGGUGCUUGCAAGAGAGGGGAAGCAAAAGGAGGCCAUCUGCUUCCGUCGUGACACAAUCAGAUAUCGUGCUCCGCAAAUGCACUAUCACGGAAUAGAACGAUAAGCACUUUGACCAAAAUCCCCAUAUAGGAGCACCACUUUGUUACCCCGUGGCAACGCGCUACCAGUGUCUUGUAAAUGACCGAUGUUGCUCAUCAUUUGCCAGAUAGGUGUAAACUAUUGAUCCAGCUAUGCCAAUCUGUUAUGCAGCAAGAAAAAAGUGUUGAAGUUAAGUGAUAGAAAGUGAUGUACCAUGGGUGAAAAGCUCUUGAAUUAUCUUACCAAACUUUAUAUUCAAUGGAUUUCAAGUUACACA